ensembl:snRNA U1 U1 spliceosomal RNA
AUACUUACCUGGUAGGGAGGAUACCAUGAUCACGAAGGCGGGUUUCCCAGGGUGAGACUCAUCGACUGACUCCGGAUGUGCUGACCCCUGCGAUGUCCCCAAAGGUGGAAAACUUGACUGCAUAAGUGGUGGUAGUGGGGGACUGUGUUCAUGCUUUCCCCUG